rnacentral:tRNA from 1 species
UGAAUAGCUCAGCUGGGAGAGCACCUCCCUUACAAGGAGGGGGUCGGCGGUUCGAUCCCGUCAUCACCCACCA